GUCGAAUCGGUUGCGUGGUGACGCAGGCGCAGCGUGGGGUUUCCCAGUCCUGAGAGCAGGGUCACCGGCCGCGCCCAUCUCCGCUGUCUGAUGGCCGGAGCCAGAGCCUGACAGAGCGAGCGCAGAAGAACCACUUCAGCGCCGGACAACGACGAGUGUGGGACGUACAAGGCCGAAUUUGGACCGAGCGUUGUGUUGACCACGUUUACCACAGGGCAUCUGCGUGAAGCUCGCGUCAUUUGGGCCAGAAUCAGCGCGGUUGCAGCUGUCGCGGCUGCGGGUUCGGGGAGUGCCGCUCUCCGCUGACUGACUGACGGACUGUCCGCAGGUCGGGCAGCUGUGGAUCUCUCCUCGCGGUUUACAGUAAAUGAUAGAUACACAACGAACUGUGCCGACAGAACACAGGUCAGUGCGAGCGCGAGUG